UACGUAGGUGGCAAGCGUUGUCCGGAUUUACUGGGCGUAAAGAGCGCGCAGGCGGUCGUUCAAGUCGCGUGUGAAAGCCCCCGGCUCAACUGGGAGGGUCACGCGAUACUGAUCGACUCGAAGGCAGGAGAGGGUAGUGGAAUUCCCGGUGUAGUGGUGAAAUGCGUAGAUAUCGGGAGGAACACCAGUGGCGAAGGCGGCUCACUGGACCGGAACUGACGCUGAGGCGCGAAAGCGUGGGGAGCAAACAGGG
rnacentral:rRNA from 1 species